rnacentral:rRNA from 1 species
CAUUAGCUAGUUGGUGAGGUAACGGCUCACCAAGGCCACGAUGCAUAGCCGACCUGAGAGGGUGAUCGGCCACAUUGGGACUGAGACACGGCCCAAACUCCUACGGGAGGCAGCAGUAGGGAAUCUUCGGCAAUGGACGAAAGUCUGACCGAGCAACGCCGCGUGAGUGAAGAAGGUUUUCGGAUCGUAAAACUCUGUUGUUAGAGAAGAACAAGGAUGAGAGUAACUGUUCAUCCCUUGACGGUAUCUAACCAGAAAGCCACGGCUAACUACGUGCCAGCAGCCGCGGUAAUACGUAGGUGGCAAGCGUUGUCCGGAUUUAUUGGGCGUAAAGCGAGCGCAGGCGGUUUCUUAAGUCUGAUGUGAAAGCCCCCGGCUCAACCGGGGAGGGUCAUUGGAAACUGGGAGACUUGAGUGCAGAAGAGGAGAGUGGAAUUCCAUGUGUAGCGGUGAAAUGCGUAGAUAUAUGGAGGAACACCAGUGGCGAAGGCGGCUCUCUGGUCUGUAACUGACGCUGAGGCUCGAAAGCGUGGGGAGCAAACAGGAUUAGAUACCCUGGUAGUCCACGCCGUAAACGAUGAGUGCUAAGUGUUGGAGGGUUUCCGCCCUUCAGUGCUGCAGCUAACGCAUUAAGCACUCCGCCUGGGGAGUACGACCGCAAGGUUGAAACUCAAAGGAAUUGACGGGGGCCCGCACAAGCGGUGGAGCAUGUGGUUUAAUUCGAAGCAACGCGAAGAACCUUACCAGGUCUUGACAUCCUUUGACCACUCUAGAGAUAGAGCUUCCCCUUCGGGGGCAAAGUGACAGGUGGUGCAUGGUUGUCGUCAGCUCGUGUCGUGAGAUGUUGGGUUAAGUCCCGCAACGAGCGCAACCCUUAUUGUUAGUUGCCAUCAUUCAGUUGGGCACUCUAGCAAGACUGCCGGUGACAAACCGGAGGAAGGUGGGGAUGACGUCAAAUCAUCAUGCCCCUUAUGACCUGGGCUACACACGUGCUACAAUGGGAAGUACAACGAGUUGCGAAGUCGCGAGGCUAAGCUAAUCUCUUAAAGCUUCUCUCAGUUCGGAUUGCAGGCUGCAACUCGCCUGCAUGAAGCCGGAAUCGCUAGUAAUCGCGGAUCAGCACGCCGCGGUGAAUACGUUCCCGGGCCUUGUACACACCGCCCGUCACACCACGAGAGUUUGUAACACCCGAAGUCGGUGAGGUAACCUUUUGGAGCCAGACGCCUAAGGUGGGAUAGAUGAUUGGGGUGA